rnacentral:rRNA from 1 species
GACGUAGGGCGCGAGCGUUGUCCGGAUUUAUUGGGCGUAAAGAGCUCGUAGGCGGCUUGUCGCGUCGACUGUGAAAUCCCGCGGCUCAACUGCGGGCCUGCAGUGGGUACGGGCAGACUAGAGUGCGGUAGGGGAGAUUGGAAUUCCUGGUGUGAGCGGUGGAAUGCGCAGAUAUCAGGAGGAACACCGAUGGCGAAGGCAGAUCUCUGGGAGCCGUAACUGGACGCUGAAGGAGCGAAAGCAUGGGGAGCGAACAGGA